rnacentral:tRNA from 4 species
GCAUCCGUAGCUCAGCUGGAUAGAGUACUCGGCUACGAAUCGAGCGGUCGGAGGUUCGAAUCCUCCCGGAUGCACCA